rnacentral:rRNA from 1 species
UGGAUGAUGAAGCUUUCGGUCGUAAACUCGUGUNNAGGGAGACAAGUGCUAGUGAAUAAGCUGGCACNUGACGGUACUANCCAGAAGCCACGGCUAANUACGUCCAGCAGCCGCGUAAUACGUAGGUGCAAGCGUAUCCCGAAUUAUUGGGCGUAAAGCGCGCGCAGUGGGUUUCUNAAGUCUGAUGUGAAAGCCCACGGCUCANCGUGGGAGGGUCAUUGGAAACUGGGAGACUGNAGUGCAGAAGAGGAAAGUGGAAUUCCAUGUGUAGCGGUGAAAUGCGUAGAGAUAUGGAGGAACACCAGUGGCGAAGGCGACUUUCUGGUCUGUAACUGACACUGAG